GCAGUCAGUGCUCUUAACCUCUGAGCCAUCUCUCCAGCCCCCUAUAUGAGCAUUUUGCCUACAUGUAUGACUGUGCACUGUGUGCUUGUCUAACACCCAUGAAGGUCCAAAGAAGGCAUCAGAUGCCCUGGAACUGGAAUUACGGAUGGUUUUGAACCACUAUGUGAAGCCUGGAAACCGACCCCGUCCUCUAUAAGAGCAACAAGAGCUGCUCUUAUGGCUCAGAGGUUAAGAGCAGCUCUUAACCUCUGAGCCAUCUCUCAAGCCUAUUAAAAGUUGUUAUUUCGUUGUUUUGUUUGUCAUUGAUAUUCACAGGGAUGUAACUUUUUAUCAUUGUCUUAAACAUCUUACUUAUAGUUUGUCAAUUUUUUAACACUGGGUGUUAAAAUUGAGAAGAAUGUGGUGUGUGUAUUUCUUCUUCUUCCUCUCUCCUCUUUUCUCUCUCUGUCUGUAAUCAAAGACGCAUUUGUAUCUUGAUUCUUUAGAUAUAAUAAACCCUCCAGCUACAGGAAUACUUCUUUUUUUGUUAAAAAAAAUCCUUCUCUGCUGCUACUGUUGUUGUCAGUUUUUGUUCACUUGUUUGAGACAAGAGUCCCUUGUAAACCAGAACUUAUUUAGAAAAUGGACACCCGACGGUUGAACUCUGACCACCUCGUGCCUGCUGUGGCAGGUGAGUGAUCACACUCACAUACAACUCAUACAUGUUACACACAAGCAGGCUGAGUGUGGCGGCUCACACUUGUAUUCCAUGUGGAUCUGAUUUACAGUAGCCAUGCCUGUGGUUUCAGAUGAGUAAGUUUAUUAAGCAUGCAGCAAGCAAAAGCAAAUGAAUAAGCAGGAGAUGGUUGGAAGCAGCAGACAGAAGGUGAAAGCACCAUAUAUUGUGAACUUAUAAUAUCUAGCAGGAACAACUGGAGUAACCUGGCUGGGAGAGCAAGCAAAAGCAACAUAACCAAAUCAGGCGCUUGUAACAUCUAGCAGAAAUGACGAGGGAAGCCCUGCUGAAGUGGGCGGGAGCUCCAGAGCGGGAGCACAGAGUAGAGCAAUCUCUGCAUAGGUGAGCUUCUACCUUCCUGUUCCCACUGCAGGCAUUCCUAAAGCAUGUGAUAAAUAGUAACUUCCGGUGGAAAUAGUUUACCUUCCAGAUGUUUGCAAAAGUGAAAUAGUUUUAAUAUCCUUAACCACUUGCUGUUGUCCUUUCUCUCUGCCCCAGAGUUAAGGAGUCACCCUGUCCCAGGACAAGGAGAUUUGGAGGACAUUCAAGGACAUAUUCAAUUCUGAGAGGCAGCCCAUCUCUUGUUCCCAGAGUCUGCUUAAGCAAAAACAGCACAUAAAAAUUUGCCAGUAUAGUGCAUACUACACUGAGACCAAAAGGUUGCUGAAAGUUCAAGGCCAGCCUAGGCUAUGGAGUGACACCUUGUUUCACAAAAGCAAAAACCAAAGUAAAAAUAAACAACUAGCAAAUGCUGACAAAGAUGUGUAGUGGUGGUGGAUGACUCUCACACUCUGGAAAGCCGUGUAAACUGCUACAGCCACUGUGAAAACUAGUAUGGAAAUUCCUCAAGAAACAAACAAGUAAACAAAAUCACUGGGGUUGGAGAAUGGCUAAGCACUUAAGAGUACAGGCUGUUUUUCUAGAGGAUUUAGAUUCAAUUCUUAGACCCACACGUGGCCCACAAGGGUCUCUGUAACUGCAGUUCCAGGUAACGUAACACCCUCUUCUGGCCUCCUUGGGCAUCAAUGGUACAUAGGCAUACACGCAGGCAAAAUAUCCACAUCCCACACAUUAAAAAAGGAAACAACAACAAAAACGUAUAUUCCUAUACCACGUCUGGGAAUAUACCAAAAGGACUAUAGCACAAUGGAGUUUAUGUAGCCACAAAAAAAAAAUUAUGUCAUUUCCAGGGAAAUGGGUAGACCUGGAGAUGAUCGUAAGUGAACUAGAAUCAGAAAGACAAAUAUCACAUUUAUCUCAUCAUGGAGCCUUCUUUGUGUGUGUGUAUGCACUAGUAUGUGUGAAUGUGUGUGUGUGUGUGUGAUAUUAGUUGCUUCUCUGAUGCUGUGAUAAAAUACCAUGACUAAAAGCAAUUUAUAGAUGAUUGUUUUUGAGUUACCAUUCCAGGGGGGAGAGUCCAAAAUGACCAAGAAGGUAAGGCAUGGUGGGAGAAACAGGAAGCAGACUGCUCAUGUCUUCAUCUAUACACAAGAAGCAUACAGAGAGAACAGGAAGUGGGACAAGACUACAAACCCUGAAAGCCCAUCCCCAGCAACUUACUUCCUCCACAUACACAGUUUUCCUUGUUUGUCAACCUGAUUGGAUUAGCAUCAACUAAGAGAGAAGCUGCUUGUCCAUCAUGUUCCUGUGACUCUACAGGGAUCUUCAAGGCCUUCCAUGCCAUGACAGCUGCUGGGAGAUCGGACUGAGGACUGGUCUACUGCUGAGUUCUUGAUCUCUUUGGAUAAGACAACCACCACUGGGCUACUCUGACUGUAUCAUAGCCUCUGAACACCUUAGAUGCCACAGGAAGUGUGUGAUAAUGCUAGGGAUCUAAAGGAGAAACAAAUCUGAAGGUGGGAGGAUGAUGCUUAAGCAAGUGCUAUGGACAUGACAACUAAUGUCGACAGUAAAUAUGGUAAACAGGUGAAUGAAGAGACUGUGGCUUUCCAACAUGGAGUUCCUGUAUCUUUUCCGGAGAGAAGCUUGAUGGUGCUUUGAAGAUUCCUGGAAAGCUGACUGGAAGUUGGGGACAUGCUUCCUGUGUGUACUGAAGGAACUGGACUGCAUCUUUACAGACAGGUUACUCGGGACACAUCAGAGAAUAAAACAAGGAGCCCUGCCCCCGAGGAACGUACAGUCUGUCUUGUAUUACCACUUCACCUGCGUACUGCUUGUGACCUUGGGCAAGUCACUGCACCUUUCUGCCCAACAGGAUAAAAAGAGGCUGGGCUCAGUAGCCACUGAGCAGGUGUACUGCAGAUGCGGACCCUGACCCACCAGACAGCAGAGAGGGCUGGAGGUGGACUUUUAAUAACCAGGUACAAUCAGAAGGGAGAGGAGGAUUACACAAGCUGCUGCUGCUGCUGCUUGGUGGUGGCCUUGUUGGCCAGGUCCUUGGCCUUCUCUGUAGCUGCCAGCACUGUCUCCUUUGCUUUUCCUUUGGCCUCUUUGGCUGUCUCAACAAGCUGGCUCCUGCUUUUAUGAAUUGCCUUAGGAAUUUUUUUCUGUAACACUAGAGAGUUUCAUGUUUUUAUAACAUUUUAUUUUGUAUGCACAUAUGUAUGUUAUGUAACUACACACACCACAGCAGGUUUUUCUUCCUCCAUGUGGGGGCCUGGGGAUCAAACUCAGGCCAUCAGGCAAUAGGCACCCUUACUUGCUAAACCAUCUUGAUGGCCUUGGAUGUAUACUUUCUUCUAAUCCUUUUUAAAGAUCCCUCCAUCUUGGAGCUCAGGGGAGGUGUUAUUCCAAAUGGAGCACACAUAUCUAAAGAUUCAAAGCCAGAAAACACAAAUGAGAGAAAACAUGUAGCGUUGUCCUUCUGGGUAUGGGUUACCUCACUCAGGAUUGUUUCCAGCUCCAUCUGUUUACCUACAAAUUUCAUAACCGCUUUUUUUUCUCAACAGCUGAAUAAUAUUGUAUAAGUGUUCCACAUUUUCAGUAUCGGUUCAUCAGUUGAUGGAUAUCCAGGUUGUUUUCAUUUCCCGGCUAUUGUGAAUAGAGCAGCUAUAAACACGAAUGAACAAGUUUCUCUGUGUAGGAUAUAGAGUUCUUUGGGUAUAUGCCCAAGAGGGGCUUGGCUGGAUCAUGUAGCAGAUCCAUUUACGCUUUCUGAGGAAACUCCACAUCAAUUUCCACAGUGGCUGUACCAGUUUGUACUCCUAUCAACAGUGAAUAAGUAUUCCUCUCUCCCAGUAUCCUUGCCAACAUCUAUCAUCCUCUGUUGUUUCUGUUGUUGUUUUAAUCUUAGUGAGUCUGAAUGGGGAAAUCUCACUGUAGUUUUAAUUUGCAUUUCCCUACUUGCUAAAGGUGUUGAGCAUAUUAAAACAGGUUUCUCAGUCAUUCGUAUUUCAUCUUUUAAGAAUUCUCUGUUCCCUGUCUCGUUUUUAAAUUGGGAUGCUUGUUUUC